rnacentral:tRNA from 1 species
GGGGCAUUAGCUCAGUUGGCUAGAGCGUUUGACUGGCAGUCAAGAGGUCAGGGGUUCGACUCCCCUAUGCUCCACCA